rnacentral:rRNA from 1 species
GAUGAACGCUGGCGGCGUGCUUAACACAUGCAAGUCGAACGAUGAAGCCCAGCCUGCUGGGCGGAUUAGUGGCGAACGGGUGAGUAACACGUGAGUAACCUGCCCUUGACUCUGGGAUAAGCCCGGGAAACUGGGUCUAAUACCGGAUAGGAGCGCCUGUCGCAUGACGGGUGCUGGAAAGAUUUUUCGGUCAUGGAUGGACUCGCGGCCUAUCAGCUUGUUGGUGAGGUAACGGCUCACCAAGGCGACGACGGGUAGCCGGCCUGAGAGGGUGACCGGCCACACUGGGACUGAGACACGGCCCAGACUCCUACGGGAGGCAGCAGUGGGGAAUAUUGCACAAUGGGCGGAAGCCCUGAUGCAGCGACGCCGCGUGAGGGAUGACGGCCCUUUCGGGUUGUAAACCUUCCUU